rnacentral:piRNA from 1 species
UAUGAAUUCUCAUGAGCAUAGAUGGAAACC